CGGUGCAUCGUAUAACCAGCCAGCCUCUGUUCUGCCUGCCGGUGCAUCGUAUAACCAGCCUCUGUUCUGUCCUGCCGGUGCAUCGUAUAACCAGCCUCUGUUCUGUCCUGCCGGUGCAUCGUAUAACCAGCCACGCCUCUGUUCUAUCCUGCCGGUGCAUCGUAUAACCAGCCUCUCCUCUGUUCUGUCCUGCCGGUGCAUCGUAUAACCAGCCACGCCUCUGUUCUAUCCUGCCGGUGCAUCGUAUAACCAGCCAGCCUCUGUUCUGUCCUGCCGGUGCAUCGUAUAACCAGCCACGCCUCUGUUCUGUCCUGCCGGUGCAGCGUAUAACCAGCCUCUGUUCUGUCCUGCCGGUGCAUCGUAUAACCAGCCACGCUCUGUUCUGUCCUGCCGGUGCAUCGUAUAACCAGCCAGCCUCUGUUCUAUCCUGCCGGUGCAUCGUAUAACCAGCCUCUCCUCUGUUCUAUCCUGCCGGUGCAGCGUAUAACCAGCCAGCCUCUGUUCUAUCCUGCCGGUGCAUCGUAUAACCAGCCACGCCUCUGUUCUAUCCUGCCGGUGCAUCGUAUAACCAGCCUGCCUCUGUUCUAUCCUGCCGGUACAGUGUAUAACCAGCCAGCUGUAUGUUGACAGUGAUAUAUAUGAUAUAACCUCUGUUCUGUCCUGACAGUGUCGUUCAGCCAAGAUAUAAGAUAUUACAGUUUUGAAUGUCCCGUUGGUUGUUUAAUCUUCUGCUUAGGUCAUCUAUUUUGUUGUCCAAAGAUGGCACGUUUGCUAGCAGAAUGCAAGGAAGUGGAGGUUUAUUCGAUCGCCUAUGAAUUCUCAGAAGGCAGCCCGCCCACAUUGACCCCCCCAUACAGUUCAUACCACAUUGCCCCCCCAUACAGUUCAUACCACAUUGACCCCC
ensembl:lncRNA